GGUUCCAUAGCUCAAUCGGAUAGAGCACAAGCCUUCUAAGCUUGGGGUUGAAGGUUCGAGUCCUUCUGGAAUCA
rnacentral:tRNA from 1 species